CCAAUAGCGUAUAUUAAAGUUGUUGCAGUUAAAAAGCUCGUAGUUGAAUUUUAGGCCUGGCCGGGCGGUCCGUCUUUGGCGAGUACUGUCCUGUGUCGGGUCCACCUUCUGGUGAACCAGUAUGUCCUUUAUUGGGUGUGCCGGGGAGCCAGGACCAUUACCUUGAAAAAAUUAGAGUGUUUAAAGCAGGCAUUUGCUUGAAUAGAUUAGCAUGGAAUAAUAGAAUAGGACGUUGUGGUUCUAUUUUGUUGGUUUCUAGGACCACCGUAAUGAUUAAUAGGGAUAGUUGGGGGCAUUAGUAUUCAAUUGUCAGAGGUGAAAUUCUUGGAUUUAUUGAAGACUAACUAUUGCGAAAGAAUUUGCCAAGGAUGUUUUCAUUAAUCAAGAACGAAAGUUAGGGGAUCGAAGACGAUCAGAUACCGUCGUAGUCUUAACCAUAAACUAUGCCGACUAGGGAUCGGAUGAUGUUAAUUUUAUAAUUACUCAUUCGGCGCCUUACG
rnacentral:rRNA from 1 species